AAAUACAAAAAUGUCUGCAGAUCCACAAAACAAAGGGGAUGAGAGGAGAGAGAAGAGGUAGAUGUACAAGGCAGAACAACAGAACGAAGAUAAGACAAUAGAGAAGAGACAGAUGCAGUGAUACAUGAGGCAGAACCACAGGCACACAAGAACUAGCAUAAAGGUUAAGAAAGAGGCAUUGCUGGCCAAUGAUGAGUUGCAGCAGUUUCAGAAUCAUUCAUCACAAAUGGCAGCUUUAGAUUUUAUGGUUUCUGUAGCCAGUAAUACCUUUGUUCCUACCUAUGAUGGUAACAUGGCAAAAAUUGUGAAAGGCCAUCGCUGGUGUGCAUGCACCCUCUUGCUAGUUGCAAUUUAAUUUUAACCACAACAAAAUAAGCUAACUAGUCCUCAUGCAGGUAUUCUGGUUUUAAAAAAUUCAUCAUAUUGGAUCGGAAAAAGCUCAUAGAAUUACUUGACAUGCAUCAAAAUGGAACCCUUCCAUGGAAUGAGUUUGCAAAUGCUGUGAGACAGGUUCAUGAAAAAAAAAAUGGGACAGCCAACUCAUCGUAGAGUUGAUGCAGACAAGCCAAAGGAAGAGGAUUAUUUCUAUGCCAACCCUUAUGAAUGCUUCUGUGAGGGAACAAAGUGUGAUGACUUGCUAGGUCCGCUUAACUCUAGUCAAAUACAAUGAGUACAAGCUGUCACAUGUAAAAAUGGACUCUUCUGCUCCACCACAAGUUUAAAAGAGGAAUAUAUAUUGCUCCUUCCCACUUAAUUGCUCAAGUGUUGUACACAUGAUGACCUUCAUAAAUAUGUACACGUGAAUUUGUAGAGAACCAUCGAAAAGAAAGUAAAAUAGAACGAAAAAGAAAAACAAAAAAAGAAGAAGAAAGAAAUAUCAGCUUCUACUGGGGCAUGCAAAGAUGUAUCUUCAAUUUCAUCCUUAAUUUAUUUAUUUAAUUUUCCAAGUUUGGGUUAUGUAUAAUUAUAUAACAAUAGUUCAUGUCACAGCCAUAAAUUCAUAUCAGGCAUUCAAAAGUUCACUACUUCUUCCUCUUUACAGACUAAUAGGUUGUAAUAAAAUGGGGUGAGUCAGAAACUUGAUUAUGAUCCUCUUCAAAGAUCAAUUGAAUACAUGGCAUGGAUUUGUCUUGGAA